CUAAUAGGAAUAAUAACUACCCCGCCUGCCCACUGACCCAUCUGAUGUGUUGUUGUGCUAAUCCACCUCUACCGGUAUCGACUGCUGGUCUCUGAGGGGUUGCCUUGCGGAGUCAGAAAUAAAUUACCCAUCAGAAUCAAUGAAACUCCUGACUAUGGCUUACACAGACGUAGCUCUGUCACCCGCACUGGCACAUGCUCCCUGCAGUCAAAAAGGAGGGGCCGCAGCUGUGGUUCGGAGCAGCCCCUGAAGCGUGCCCAGCAGGUACAGACCUGCGCUGGAGCCGGCUGAUGUGGGGGGGCCGUGCACAGCCAGUGACGUUCAUUGACCGGGAGGGGAAAAUUCCUGUGCAAGUGGUCUCCACUGGGUAUAAGACAGUACCAGUGACAUUUGCCUCUUCUCUCAGUGAUAAAAUGUAUUUAUUUGUGAAGUAGAUCUUAAUCCAUCUCUGAGAAGUGUUUUUAGUUUUUUUGCAGCAGCAUUUAUAAUGAUUGAAUGUGUAGCUAGAGAGGACAUCUUUCUGUAGCAAUGAACAAAAAUAAGAAUAACUUUUCAGCAUUACCGUAUAUCAAUAGCCAAUUAUUUUUGUAUGGAUGGGUUCUGGUUGGCUGCUAAUGGACUGACAAUGAGAUAAGUCUUCCAGGAGAGAAACCAUCAUUUUAAAGAUAGAGUGGCUGGCCUUUUAAUUUUAAGGUAUUACCAAAAUCACACCUUUCACCUUUAAAAAUUGUAAAUGAUCACAGUCCUCUUCUAAAUCAUUUCCUUGCUUUUUGAACUGAGCCCGGCUAAUGCUUUGCAAGAGUUUGUCUUUCCGGGCAGCGACGGUGCCAUUUGCAUUUCUUAAUUUUUCUUGAAGAACGUCAUCCUCCUUGCUUGCACUCUGCCUCCCAGCCUGCUUCCUGGCCAUCUAUCUGCAGAGGGGGUUUAAGGAACCUGUCGCCAAGUCCCCCUCGCUCCCGUCUAUUUCUUGAACUCCACGUACCGCACAGAUAUGUGCUGGCGUAAAGCGAAACCUAUUAAGUGAUGAGAUAAAACACAAAGGUGCUUCAGAAGACUUCAAAUGUUUCAAACGAGGCAGACUCACGUUUCUCGCUGGUUUUUCUUCAGCUUUGGUGUGCUUUCUUUCAUCUCCACGCGCUUCAUUCCCCUGCCCCUGCCCGUCGGACCUGGGGCGUUUUGGCGAGGAGGAUGAGCGGCCCCCUCCCUCCGCCCGGCCGCCCACUCACCUGCUGCAAGCCCGAGCCCUCUCAGCCCACUAAAGCUCAUCAUUUUACCGUUACUCUUAAAAACAAGUUGAAAAAAAAAGAUCGCCAUAUGCUUCAGAAUACG
rnacentral:lncRNA from 1 species